GACUGAGGCACUCUCCUUCCUGAGCUCAGAAGCCACCCUGGGGACGCCCAUUCAGAGAAAUCUGACUCUGCUGCACUCACCAGUGCCAAGUGAUGAGGAUGCUCCUUCAAGUACUUGUUUGGGUAUUAAGGCUUCAGACCUCCUUGGUCAAUACCCAGAAGUUGCAACAGAGCCCUCAGUCUCUGGUAAUCCAAGAAGGAGAUGAACUCACCAUCAGCUGCAAUUCCUCAGAAUCUUUAUAUGUCUUACACUGGUAUUGGCAAGGGAAUGAUGGAGGCCCCAUCUUCUUGGUGACAUUACAGAAAGGUGGAGACAGGAAAAGUAAUGACAAAAUAACUGCCAAGCUGGAUGAGAAAAUGCAACGAAGUUCCCUGCAUAUUCGAGCCUCCCAGCCCAGUCACUCGGGCACUUACCUCUGUGGAACAGAUGCACAGUGGUCUGCAGACCUCCACAGGCUGUCUCCAAACCUGCAGCUGGGCCACAGGGGCUCUGCUGACAUAGGGCUCUGAGACAGAACUAGAACACUUG